AUGUCUUUCUUUACCCUCUGGCUCUUUCUUCUUUCUUUCACUCUCUUAGUCUUUUUCCCUUUGUCUUCCUCCCUAUCCCUUUUCUAUCCCUGUGUCACUCUCAUUCUUUCUCCUCCGUCUCAAUAUUCUUCUUCCUCUUUCUGUCUCCCAAUCUUUUUUCUAUUUCAUCUUUUCUCUUCCUUUUUCUCUCUCCCCGACUCUUUUUCUCUGUCUUUCUUAGCCAUUCCUCCCACUUUAUUUCUUGAUCUAUUCGGGGCUCUCCUUUUCUUUCUCUGUCUCAUUCUGAUUCAUUUUUCCUCUCUAUUUCUCUCAUUCCUACUCUCUACCUUUCACUAUUUCUCUUACUCUCUUUCUUUCUCUCUCUGUUUCAGUGUCUCCCAUUCUCUUUUCUCCCUGACACUCUCUCUCACAUUCUGUUUCUCUCUCCCACAUUUUCCUUUUUUCUCUUUCCCCUUUUUUGCACCGUCUCUCCCUCCAUCUCUCAUUCUCUUUCUCACACUCAUUCUCUCGCUCCAUCCCCCACUCUCUUUCUACAUCGCUCUAUACUUUUCUCUCCUUCUGUCUCUCUCUCUCACAUGUUUCUCUUUCAUUCUGUCUCACUUUUCUUCUUUUUCUAGCUCCGCUUUGUCUAUCUCUUUUUCUCUCCUCUUCUUUUUAUACCUCUCAUUUUUUUCAUUUCCUAUGUCUAUUUGUCUCCCUCUCUUUCUGUUUCCCAUUCUUUUUUACUCUCUCUCCCUCCUUCUCACUCUCUGUCUCUCUCAUUCUCUUUCACUAUUUCUUCCUUUCUCCCACUCUUUUUUACUCUCUCUCCCUCCUUCUCACUCUCUGUCUCUCUCAUUCUCCUUCACUGUUCCUUUCUCUUUUUUCUUUCUCUCCCUCUGUUUCCAUCUCCCAAUCUUUUUUGCUCUCUCUCCCAACUUCUUGCUCUAUAUUUCUCUCAUUUUCUUUCACUGUUUCUUUGUUUCUCUUCCUCUGUUUCUCUCUCUCUCGUUCUCACUCUCUGUCUCUCUCAUUCUCUUUCACGAUUUCUUCCUUUCUCCACUCUUUUUACUCUCUCUCCCACACUUCUCCCUCUCUGUCUCUCUCAUUCUCUUCACUGUUCCUUUCUCUUUUUCUCUCUCUCUUGUUUCUAUCUCCCACUCUUUUUUGCUCUCUCUCUCUCCCUCCUUCUCACUCUCUGUCUCUCUCAUUCUCUUUCACUUUUUCUUCCUUUCUCUCCCUGUUUCUAUCUCCCACUCUUUUUUGCUCUCACUCCAUGUAUCUCUCAUUCUAUUUUACUGUUUCUUUCUCUUUUUGCUUUCUCUCCCUCUGUUUCUAUCUCUCACUCUUUUUUGUUCUCUCUCCCUCCAACUCACUCUCUGUCUCUCAUUGUCUUUCACUGUUUCUUUCUCUUUUCUCUUUCUCUCCCUCUGUUUCUAUCUCCCACUCUUUUUUGCUCUCUCUCCCAACUUCUUACUCUCUAUUUCUCUCAUUUGCUUUCACUAUUUCUUUCUUUCUCUCCCUUUGUUUCUGUCUCUCACUCUUUUUUGGUCUCCCUUCUUCUCACUCUCUGUCUCUCCCAUUCUAUUUCACUGUUUCUCUCUCUUUUUUCUUUCUCUCCCUCUGUUUCUAUCUCCCACUCUUUUUUCCUCUCUCUCCCUCCUUCUCACUCUGUCUCUCUUCUUUCAUCGUUUAUUUCUUUUUCUUUCUCUCCCUCUGUUUCUAUCUCCCACUCUUUUUUGCUCUCACUCUGUCUCUCUCAUUCUAUUUCACUGUUUCUUUCUCUUUUUUCUUUCUCUCCCUCUGUUUCUAUCUCUCACUCUUUUUGGUUCUCUCUCCCUCCAACUCACUCUGUCUCUCAAUCUCUUUCACUGUUUCCCCUCGAUUUUCUUUCUCUCCCUCUUUUACUAUCUGUAUCCUAAUCUUUAUUGCACUGUCUCAUUCCUUCUCACUCUUUGUCUCUCUCCUUCUCUUUCACUGUUUUUCUUCCUCUCCCUGUUUCUUUCUAUCUCCCACUCUUUUUUGCUCUCUCUCCCUCCUUCUCACUCUCUCUCUCAUUCUCUUUCACUUUUUCUUCCUUUCUCUCCCUCUGUUUCUGUCUCUCACUCUUUCUUGCUUUCUCUCCCUCUUUCUCACUCUCUGUGUCAUUCUCUUUCAGUGUUUCUUUCUUUCUCUCCCUCUGUUUCUGUCUCCCACUCUUUUUUCCUCUGUCUCCCACCUUCUUACAUUCGGUCUCUUUC
rnacentral:lncRNA from 1 species